rnacentral:rRNA from 1 species
AUCGUAACUCCUACGGGAGGCAGCGGUGGGGAAUUUUGGACAAUGGGGGCAACCCUGAUCCAGCAAUGCCGCGUGAGUGAAGAAGGCCUUCGGGUUGUAGAGCUCUUUUGUCAGGGAAGAAACGGUAAUAGCUAAUAUCUAUUACUAAUGACGGUACCUGAAGAAUAAGCACCGGCUAACCACGUGCCAGCAGCCGCGGUAAUACGUAGGGUGCAAGCGUUAAUCGGAAUUACUGGGCGUAAAGCGUGCGCAGGCGGUUGUGUAAGUCAGAUGUGAAAUCCCCGGGCUCGACCUGGGAAUUGCACUUGAGACUGCACGGCUAGAGUGUGUCAGAGGGGGGUAGAAUUCCACGUGUAGCAGUGAAAUGCGUAGAUAUGUGGAGGAAUACCGAUGGCGAAGGCAGCCCCCUGGGAUAACACUGACGCUCAUGCACGAAAGCGUGGGGAGCAAACAGGAUUAGAUACCCGGGUAGUCCUAGAGC